ACUGGACUUUUUCUCUUCCCUCUCCCCGUCCCGAAACCCUCCUCCUCUUCCUCUUCCUCCCCUGCGAGCCCGGGGUUUGCAGCGUCCCCUUCUCCUCUCGCAGCUCCUGCCCCGCUGAGCUCCGCUGGUCCAGGGACGGAGCCAGAGCAGGGAAGCGGCUCUGCGGAGCUGCUGCUCCGAGCUCUUGGAGAUUCAGCUCUGGCUGCAGCACGUCUGGAGCUGCAGAAGUGCAGGGCCCAGCCCCAAACCCCCCCGAAAUCAGCCGGAGCUUUGGACCCAGCCCUGCAGAAAUCAAGCAGAAGGAAAUGCUGGGUGCGAGCCGAGCCGCGGGGAAGAUGCUCAAGCGCCCCGACCACGCCUCGGGGAGGGCGAUUUGCGCAUCCCGGGUUGUUUUCACAUCCCUCCGCACCAGCGCUUUCCUCCUGCUAGGAAAAUCUCCCCGCGGGGAUCACAAAUCCCAGCCGUGCACCCAAACAACCCCCAAACUCCCCCUUCGGGGACCGCGAGGCAUCCCGAACAUUUGCGGCGGGGUUUUGUUAUUCCGGCACGGCAGGAGCGGCUCCGAGGAGGCUGGAAAAGCCCGGCCGGGACCGCUGCGAGGUGCGGGCUCUCCAUUAGGUGGCAUUGGAAGUUUGGUGCUGGGACAGCCAGAGCUGCCCCUGCCUCGCCUUUGGGAGCGUAUUUAUCUUUUCAGCACUUGUUGGAUACUCGCGGCGGAAUUUGCUUUAUCAACGGGCGGUGUAAUGGUUUUAUCGGGGAAGAGAGACCCUCCCCCGUCCCCUCGCGGACAAUUAAAGGCGUUAUCAAAAUAAUUGGUUGUUGUACAAAACUGAAAAACCAUAACAACGUAAUGAAUAGACAAUUUAGAAUAAUGUAGAGCAGAUAUAGAUCAUGGAUGUAUAAUAAUGUAUAAUGUAGAGCAGAUAUAGAUCAUGGAUGUAUAAUAACAUAUAAUGUAGAGCAGAUAUAGAUCAUGGAUGUAUAAUAACGUAUAAUGUAGAGCAGAUAUAGAUCAUGGAUGUAUAAUAACGUAUAAUGUAGAGCAGAUAUAGAUCAUGGAUGUAUAAUAACGUAUAAUGUAGAGCAGAUAUAGAUCAUGGAUGUAUAAUAAUGUAUAAUGUAGAGCAGAUUAUACACAGCCCUUUCCUGUUUCCUAGAGGUUCAAACACCUGAGAAUUCAGCCGCGCCUUGCUGCACUCACCGGCAAAGGGAUUUUACACACAUCUCGUGGGGGUGUUGUCUGCUGAGCAAAGAAAAGAUGAAAAUAAGAAAAAAACCCCUUUUUUUAGUGUGUACAACACGAAGUAAUUCUGUUCUGAGGGAUAACGGAUGCAGUUUCAAAUAGUAAAAAUAAUAAAAAUUUCUUAAAAAAUAAAAGUGGAUAUUAAUCAAUUAGGAAAAA